rnacentral:rRNA from 1 species
AUACGUAGGUGGCAAGCGUUAUCCGGAUUUACUGGGUGUAAAGGGCGCGUAGGCGGGGAUGCAAGUCAGAUGUGAAAUCUAUGGGCUUAACCCAUAAACUGCAUUUGAAACUGUAUCUCUUGAGUGUCGGAGAGGUAGAUGGAAUUCCUUGUGUAGCGGUGAAAUGCGUAGAUAUAAGGAAGAACACCAGUGGCGAAGGCGAUCUACUGGACGAUAACUGACGCUGAGGCGCGAAAGCGUGGGGAGCAAACAGGAUUAGAUACCCCGGUAGUCCUGGCAGUAAACGAUGUAUGCUGGGUGUGAGACUAGCGAUAGUUUCGUGCCGAAGUUAACGCGAUAAGCAUACCGCCUGGGGAGUACGGUCGCAAGAUUGAAACUCAAAGGAAUUGACGGGG